GCACCCGUAGCUCAGCUGGAUAGAGCGUUGGCUUGCGGAGCCAAAGGUCGUAGGUUCGAAGCUGUUGGUGUACCA
rnacentral:tRNA from 1 species